rnacentral:rRNA from 1 species
CCUACGGGAGGCAGCAGUGAGGAAUAUUGGUCAAUGGGCGGGAGCCUGAACCAGCCAAGUCGCGUGAGGGAAGACGGUCCUAUGGAUUGUAAACCUCUUUAGGCGGGGAGCAAUGCCGGGCACGCGUGCCCGGAGGGAGAGUACCCGCAGAAUAAGCAUCGGCGAACCCCGUGCCAGCAGCCUCGGUAAGACGGAGGAGGCGGGCGUUAUCCGGAUUUAUUGGGUUUAAAGGGUGCGUAGGCGGAUUUUUAAGUCAGCGGUAAAAUUUCGGGGCUCAACCCGGGGCGGCCGUUGAAACUGGGGGUCUUGAGUGGGGGAGAGGUAUGCGGAAUGCGUGGUGUAGCGGUGAAAUGAGUAGAUAUCACGCAGAACUCCGAUUGCGAAGGCAGCAUACCGGCGCCCGACUGACGCUGAGGCACGAAAGCGUGGGGAUCGAACAGGAUUAGAUACCCUUGUAGUC